rnacentral:rRNA from 1 species
CGAUGAACGCUAGGCGGGAUGCUUUACACAUGCAAGUCGAACGGCAGCGCGAAAGAGCUUGCUCUCUUGGCGGCGAGUGGCGGACGGGUGAGUAAUAUAUCGGAACGUGCCCAGUAGCGGGGGAUAACUACUCAAAAGAGUGGCUAAUACCGCACACCCCCUACGGGGGAAAGGGGGGGAUCGCAAGACCUCUCACUAUUGGAGCGGCCGAUAUCAGAUUAUCUAUUUGGUGGGGUAAAGGCUCACCAGGGCAACGAUCCGUACCUGGUUUGAGAGGACAACCACCCACACUGGGACUGAGACACGGCCCACACUCCUACGGGAGGCAGCAGUGGGGAAUUUUGGACAGUGGGGGAAACCCUGAUCCAGCCAUCCCGCGUGUAUGAUGAAGGCCUUCGGGUUGUAAAGUACUUUUGGCGGAAAAAAAAAGGUAUCCCCUAAUACGGGAUACUGCUGACGGUAUCUGCAGAAUAAGCACCGGCUAACUACGUGCCAGCAGCCGCGGUAAUACUUAGGGUGCAAGCGUUAAUCGGAAUUACUGGGCGUAAAACGUGUGUAGGCGGUUCGGAAAGAAAGAUGUGAAAUCCCAGGGCUCGACCUUGGAACUGCAUUUUUAACUGCCGAGCUAGAGUAUGUCAGAGGGGGGUAGAAUUCCACGUGUAGCACUGAAGUGCGUAGAUAUGUGGAGGAAUACCGAUGGCGAAGGCGGCCCCCUGGGAUAAUACUGACGCUCAGACACUAAAGCGUGGGGAGCAAACAGGAUUAAAUACCCUGGUAGUCCACGCCCUAAACGAUGUCAACUAGCUGUUGGGGCCGUUAGGUCUUACUAGCGCAGCUAACGCGUGAAGUUGACCGCCUGGGGAGUACGGUCGCCAGAUUCAAACUCAGAAGAAUUGGACGUGGGACCCGCACAAGCGGUGGAUGAUGUGGAUUAAUUCGAUGCAACGCUGAAAACCUUACCUACUCUUGACAUCUCUGGAAAACCGAAGAGAUUUGGCCGUGCUCGCAAGAGAACCGGAACACAGGUGCUGCAUGGCUGUCGUCAGCUCGUGUCGUGAGAUGUUGGGUUAAGUCCCGCAACGAGCCCAACCCUUGUCAUUAGUUGCUACGCAAGAGCACUCUAAUGAGACUGCCGGUGACAAACCGGAGGAAGGUGGGGAUGACGUCAAGUCCUCAUGGCCCUUAUGGGUAGGGCUUCACACGUCAUACAAUGGUCGGGACAGAGGGUCGCCAACCCGCGAGGGGGAGCCAAUCUCAGAAACCCGAUCGUAGUCCGGAUCGCAGUCUGCAACUCGACUGCGUGAAGUCGGAAUCGCUAGUAAUCGCGGAUCAGAAUGUCGCGGUGAAUACGUUCCCGGGUCUUGUACACACCGCCCGUCACACCAUGGGAGUGGGUUUCACCAGAAGUAGGUAGCCUAACCGUAAGGAGGGCGCUUACCACGGUGGGAUUCAUGACUGGGGUGAAGUCGUAACAAGGUAGCCGUAUCGAAGUGGCC